CUGGUGUGAAGGUCCUGGUGUUCUGCUUCAUUGAUUGACUGUGCCUGCAAGGCUCAGCACAUGGGUGGCCUGUCGUGUUGGGAAACCCUUCUUCAGAGAGCUGGCAGGGCAGCCGAUACCCCAUUGCCGCGAGAAUCAGAUGCUGUGCUCUGAGGGAACUUGGUGUGUCUGCCAACAUCACAUCUUCCCUUUGGCCUAACCACAGGCUGGCUUUUGUGAGUAUUUGCAGAGUGUAGAUGGGGUUUGCACAUGAAUAGGGAAGAGUCGAAAGGAGUUUUCUCCUCAACAAGCUUUAUGGACCAGGUAGCUCCUGGGUGAAACAGCAUCAGUGGCAUUUGCUGAUUUUUGACAUUCAGGAGGGAAGUGGCCACCAUGGACAGUUAUGGUUGGUGGAAGGCGCCUGGUCUGCAGUCUAGCAUGAGCUCUCAAGGUCUUCUUUUGUGGCUUUUGCUGGAUGUGAGAACUACUCUUUCAGAUCAGCAAAAGACUUUAUAAAUUAUUUUAACUGUGCCCCAAUGUAGCUGUAGGAGAAUUACUGCCUUUAGAAGGUGUGGUACUGUAUCUUCCACUUAGUGGAGGCAGUUGGGAACAUAAAAUAUAUGUAAUCCACGAGCUUGUAUUUGUUCACACCUCACUUUCUGGUGUUGAUCACUGAAACAUUAUACUUGCUUGGUCUGGACUGUCUAAAAGUCAUUUUGGUUAUUCACAGCUUAUAAGGGCAGCUACAGAGUAAAACAAGAGUGCAGUAAAGCAUGAAUAUGUGUAUAGAGAUAGUAAAUAUUAGAUAUUUAAGAAGGAAAACUUACAAUGAUGCAGGUCAAAAGGUGCAGUAAGGGAGUGUUCUGUGCAUAUCCUGCAGAUAACAUCUAGCAGUACUGGCCUAAUUUAGAAAAGUGCAAAGAGAAGAAUCUUGCUUUGAAAAAUCUGCAAAAUCCAUGUUUAUGAAAUGAUAAGAAGAAUUGGCCUCUGAGUAGGAAAUGAGCAUUUUCUUGAAACAGAUACUGUUUAAGAUAAAACCUUCACAAAAGGAUCAUUUAAUAUCGAAGAGUCAUAGAUCCCUGGGAUAUUCUUCUGUGUUUUGAUAUCUGUUUCACAAAAUGAAAAGAUGAAGACGUUAAUAUAAAGGCAAGACAAAAGUCCUUUAUUUCUUUAUAUCACUGGUGGAUAAUUUCUAAUAGUGUUGCAGGAUAGUGAAAUGCUAUCUCAGUUCAAUAAAAAAGCCUGAGCAAAGAAAGAUAAUUCUUAACAAAAUCAGUUGCAAACUCAUUCCCUGUAGUGUCUGAAUUCUUGAAAAUGUAUUUUACUUUAAUAUAAAAGUAUCCUAAAAUGUGUAUUAUUGAAAAAGGCUCCUGCUUCUGAGGGGCAGCUGUCAUCAUCCUCUGGGUCACUCCUUAGCAAAUCCAUAAUCCUUGGCCUCUGAUUUUUUAAAUAUAAUUUUUCUUAGUGUUUAAUGUGACUUUCCAUUUGUUUUCUGUCACACAAGCCCUUGGUUCCUAUGGAAGCUAUUGUGGGAGUCCUUUACAGUGCAGUUGAUGCAAUUUUCUUUUGAAAAAGCUGUCUUUCAAAGCUUUUCCUGUGCUGACAUCCCUUUGGAUGGGGCACAGAAACUGGUUUGUAUUGGUAGGGACUCAUCCUUUGGAGAGGUCACACUCUGAGCAGUUCAGGAGGGCAAACAUUGUCCCAGAGCACACUUAGUGAAUUUGGGGACAGUCAGGUUCUGUUCCCUGGCUGUGGGUGCUGGGUGAAGGAGAUGGGAACUUUUCCUGCUGGCUGGAGAUGAAGGGGUUGAUAUAAAAGAAAGGUCACUGAAACUGCUUAAGCCUUAGCUUGAGAUUCUGCUUCUUGAAAUUUUACUUAGAAAAUGAGAAUGACAUUAGCUAGAAAGGUUAGAGCAGUCAGAUGCCUUUAAAUAAAUGCUUCUUCUUUGUCUUUUCUUACAGUGGUAGUUUUUUUUUUUUUGGGAAAAAAAAGACAUAAUGAGAACAAAAGAACUGAUUUUAAUACUAAUUUCUUCUUUGCUUUUUGCAUUGGUGGUGGGCUCAUUUUGACUGAUCAGGGUGAGAGACAAAAACAUUUUGAAGGAAAAAAUGUCAUUGUAUUAUCUGAAAGGUAUGGCAGAAAGACCAGUAAGUGUCACAGCAAAAAGGACUUGGGCUUGCACAGCUGCAUGAAAUCAGCCCAGAGAAACUCUUGACUCCCUCAGUCCCUGUGCCAGAAAGUCAGCAUUACCAGACUGCUGGCACUGAUCAUCACAACAGGUGUGGGGAUAAGAACAAGUGAUUUUUAGCUAUUCCUAGAUGUAAAAGGCUCUUGCCAAAUAACCAAUGAAGCUGCUAAUACUGUUUUAUGUGUGGUUUGGUGAGUAGGGUUAAUAUUACAGAGGAACUGGAGGUAGUAUUUCAAACUGAGGAGAAGUGCUUGCAGAACAGACUACUCAGCCCAGUCAAACAAAGAACUUUUGGAGGUAGUUAGAAGCAAGCAGUGCAUUUUCCAUGCAGAUUAGAAGAAAGAGCAGAAGCCUCAAUAAAGAAGUGUCUAAAAGUCAGGAACAGAGACCCAUAGUAAAAAAAAAAAACCCGAGUCCUGCUUGGUUACCAUAAAAGAGAUGUGCCAGUAGUAAAGGUUUUUUUUUUUAGAAUGUAAGAGAUUGUAUUUGCUCUGCAGAGAUAGAAGAGCAGAGAACCAAAAUUAUUAAAUGAAAAAUAUGCUUCAUCUGUCAGUGAUGUCUGUUGAAAGAAAGAGGAGUACUGAAAGUGAAGCUUGGGAGUGGAGCAUAGCACAACCAAGAGGACUCAAGUGAGUGAAUAGGGAAUGUUUCUCUGAUUAUUAACAGAAUCUUAAAGUGAAUGAAAUAGUAGAUCUGACAAGGAUUUUUAGUGACUAUCAAGUCAGUCAAAUUGGUGACUGUCCUUAAAGAAACACACAGCCAGAAACAUAGUACCCAGUUUUAAGAACGGGUAGAAAAAUGUGGUCUAGGCAAUAUGAAUUCAUUAA
ensembl:lncRNA